UGGCAGAUAGGUCGAGCCCAAUGCGCACGAACAAGGAAAUAGGUAGGUGGCAUGGAAAAGUUGGGAAAAGCCCACGCUGCAGCAACCAUUGGCAUUGCAUUGACUAUUAAAUUUGGAGGGAACAAAGGUUGCGUCGUCGAAUUCACGAAUAGUAGAACGCAGCUGAUCCGGGUACUUCUGGAGCAGAACCAGUUGUUUAUUUUCUCUCAUGCUGCACAAUUCCUUCUUUCUCCAACCAAAUUCAGUUUUGUAGUGUUCUUUUCUCUCGUUUGCUGAUAUCAAUUUCUGCUCGCCAUUUUAUUGUGCUGUCCGUUGUUUCCUGGAAAAAUAAACCAAUUGCCGAAUGACAUCGUUCAGGCCAAGGUCGUGGUUGUUGGACGUGCCUCCCUCUGUCGCUUGACCCCUUUUCUGAUCUUCCGUCGAGCUGCUUCUGCCCUUGAAAGAUAUGAAUUGGGUUCAGCGCAAGAUCUACCUCUACAAUGUAACUUUUGGCCUUUAUAUGCUAGACUGGUGGGAGCGUUGUCUUUUUAAUUUUCCUGAGCUCAUAAGCGAUCCUGCUAGCUGGGCUUUGUACUUGUGACUUCCUGAAUUUUUUCCAGAUAUUUUGGUGAUUGUACUUCUGUGGUUUGUACUCUACAACUGGUCGCGAUAUGCCAAUGAAUUCCUCAAG